GACGAACGCUGGCGGCGUGCUUAACACAUGCAAGUCGAACGGAAAGGCCCUGCUUUUGUGGGGUGCUCGAGUGGCGAACGGGUGAGUAACACGUGAGUAACCUGCCCUUGACUUUGGGAUAACUUCAGGAAACUGGGGCUAAUACCGGAUAGGAGCUCCUGCUGCAUGGUGGGGGUUGGAAAGUUUCGGCGGUUGGGGAUGGACUCGCGGCUUAUCAGCUUGUUGGUGGGGUAGUGGCUUACCAAGGCUUUGACGGGUAGCCGGCCGGAGAGGGUGACCGGCCACAUUGGGACUGAGAUACGGCCCAGACUCCUACGGGAGGCAGCAGUGGGGAAUAUUGCACAGUGGGCGGAAGCCUGAUGCAGCAACGCCGCGUGCGGGAUGACGGCCUUCGGGUUGUAAACCGCUUUCGCCUGUGACGAAGCGUGAGUGACGGUAAUGGGUAAAGAAGCACCGGCUAACUACGUG
rnacentral:rRNA from 1 species